rnacentral:lncRNA from 1 species
GAGGACGAACAAACGAGUUCUAUAAAGCACCCCCUAUCUUCUAGAUAUACUUUUACUUAAAAAUUAUCUUGAAAAUAAGCACUUCAAUUAGAAUCAUACAUUAAAUUGAAACAAAUGCAACUCAUAAUUUGCUUCCAACCAAAAUAGGCCUAUUAGCAUGCGUCUUUACGAGACAAAUCUAGACACUAAAUUCAGUGAACAUACUAUAAUAUGCAUCUUUACGAGACAAAUCUAGACACAAAAUGCAGUGAACAUACUCCAAUUUAGUAUGGCAAUCCCUACCUGCGUAGUUAAAGGAGCUACCAAGAAACAAGUUUCUGCUAUUUCAGACGUACUUUGCUCUCAACAGUUAGUGCUAAACUCAGCAACCUUACGCUUUCUGCUAUUUCAGACGUAAUUUGCUCUGAACAGUUAGUGCUACACUCAGCAACCUUACGUGCUCUAGAACUUACUAAAGGAGUUGCUAAAAAACCGAGUUACUGCUACUUCAGACGUAUUUUGCUCUGUAUAGUUCGCGCUCCACUAAGUAGCCAUCAAAAGUCUACGAAAUCAGAGAUGCAUGUAAUUACCAACUCAAAUGAACUGAAAUGCUACAUGCUACAAGAAUAAAAUGAUUUUACAAAUCGAUAAUUAUAUAAAACCCGGACACUAUACUAAAAACGAAAUAAUCUAAACAAAAAUAAUCUAAACAAACGCAGCUAAUUUAAUUUUAUCACGUUACUGAGCUUCAUUCAGUAGUUCAAACUGAAUUAGCCAAAAACAGAAUUGCAGCUAAUUUAAUUUGAACAGCCCCUAAUGAACUAAACAAAAAAAAAAUUGGCGUACUCCUACAAUUGCAAGUGCAAUUUAAGCAGCUGUAAUUACAAAAGACAGCCGCCGUGACAAAUUAUCAUUUUAACAGUUAUCAUUUUAACAAUACAGACGCCAAAUUACUCCACAAGGCGAGCUUUGCCGGGUAUUACCCAAGCCACCAGGGCUAGCUACCUCUAUCAAUGUCACCAACUUACCAACCACCUUCAAAUGGUCUUGUUAUUAGAAAUUCAAUCAUGUCACCAAGGCCUUGUUUAGUUAGGGAAUUUGGGAGGUGCCAAAUUACUGUUACAGCACUGUAGCACACUGUAGCGUUUCGUUUGUAUUUGUGAAUUAUUGUCCAAAUAUUGACUAAUUAGGCUCAAAAGAUUCGUCUCGCAAAGUACAACAAAACUGUGCAAUUAGUUUUUAAUUUCAUCUACAUUUAGUACUCCAUGCAUGUACCGCAAGUUUGAUGUGAUGGGGAAUCUUCUUUUUGCAUAGUGUGUGUCAAAGUUGGGAGUUGGGAGUAACUAAACAUGGCCCAACUCUUGCGUGCCAUCAAAUGGACAAGUUCUGUUACAAUCUGCAGCAAUCAAGCUAACCUCCAUGGAAAACCAGUGCUCAACUUCUAAUUGAUGAACUCACUGCCUGAUCGAAUUAACCAAGAAUACGUACAAGCAGAAUAAACUGAGGCAGUUAACAACCAGCAAAGAGAUUAAGUACAGAACAACAAACACCUGGGGACUUUGGGGCACAAUAGACACCACCAGGCAAUAUAACCAACCGGAUUGUUCACUUGCCAAAAUCUUCAGCUUGGGUAAAAGCAUCAUCAGUUCCAUCAUCACAGCCGCCAAGAAUAGCUCCUUGUUCACUUUUCUCAACACGAUCAAUAGAAUCCAUCGUACAGGAAUUUGGAAAGCCUCUAAAGCUCUACAAUUGCUCAAUAAACAAUUUGCCAAGUAAAUAAAGUAUGUCCCAAAUCCAUCGAUAUGGUAAACAAUCUAAUUCCAUCAAUAUAUGGUAAACAUCUCAAAUCCAUCAAUAUACGGUGAUCAUUGAAAUACAUAUGCAAUGCAUAUAGAUAUGGUAAGAGAGAAAUGACAUCGUAAGAGAAACUCGAGUUGAUUACAGACCAAAAAGUAAGCUAAUAUCAUAAAUACAGUGGAAUAGAAACAAGGAGUCAACCAGAUGAACAGAACAUAGGAGCGCUGAAAAAUGGUAGACGCAUCAUCACAAGUUUGAUUUGUGCUGGUUUUGCUUAUGCUGACUUGUUUUUUGAGGGUCCAGUGAGCCUGGCGAAUUUACUGAGUUCGCAACUGAUCUGAGCGAAGUGGAUGGGAUGUUUACACGGGUUUAGGGGUUGUUUCUGUAGUGCGCGAGAACGCAGAAUUUGCACGGAAUAUAAGAACGUAAAUAGAAUUGCAGAUUAAAUUACCGAUUGUACCUUGUGAGUUUCGCUGUAGCUCCAUGUCUUUGCAGCGGCGAUAGUAGAUGCUAGUUCCAGACUCGACGGGAGAACGGGAAGCAAAAGGCACAGGGACACCAUGGGGGAAGAGAACCCGGGGCCAAAAAAACAAGCCCCGUGCGAUCUCCUCCCCCGGACACAAGAAUAUUUUUUUAUUACCGUGGCCUGCCAUGCGAGCGCACCCAACAUGGCAAAGGCCUCUCUCGAAGUCACAUCUUUUUCUCAUUUUUCUGCCCUCAACGCACGCCGACUCGACGCCGAAAUCUUACAUGCUUCAACCUUACCUCGCCUCUUCAAGGCGGCACGGCUCACAUCUCUUAGAUCUACUAAUAAUUAUCGAAAUUCAUCCAAUAAUUAUCAGCACAGAGAGAUCAUCCCGCGCGGUGGAGACAGAGGAAGAGAUCCCGCUGGUGGCCACGACCCGUCAGCUCCGCCGCCGCCUCCAACACGCUCCGAACGGAAGUUCACCGCGGUCCGCCAGAUCUGGAAGACGAAACAAAGCAACGCGUCAGAUCAGCAGAUGCGACGGCGAGAACACCCACAACCCCAACGCGAAACCACAAGAAUCCUAGGGACAAAGACUAACCGGUGCAGGAUCCAAAGCGCCGCGCACGCGGAUCCGUAGCGUCCUUGCGCAGAUCCAGAUCCAGGUGGUCGCAACCCGAUUCAACCGGCAACGAACCCAAACCACCCAUCAGACCUGAGCCUGCGCAAAAGAAAACAAACGGGUUUUUCCGCACAAAUCGAAACAAAUCAACCCACCGUUCUGCUAAGGGGCCCAACGGAUUCGUCGAUACGAGAUGAAAGUUCUCGGCGAGAUUUGGAUUUCCAGAUUGCGUGUGGGGGAAGAGCACGGGCUCAUGGCGAUUCUAGAUCUGGAGGGAGGGGGAGAGGUUGCGUGCAGGAGGGGAGCGCGCCAAGCCGCCCAGGGUUUGUUGGUUUGCGAAUAAUUGUAGGGGAGCUAUGUAUUUAUCGUCCGGCUGGGGGAAGUGGACGGUGUAGAUGAGGCGGUUCGACUCGGACGGGUCGGAUGGAGGGCACGUGUCGGGAGGCCAUUGGCUGUUUGACUGUGACAGCCGGGUCGUAUGAGGAGACCCUGUGCUGCCCGCCCUCUGCCCGGAAUUAGCGUCAUUGCAUGCGUCAUCGGAUUGUUGGAUCCUCUAUGGGUAGAAGAGGUGAGGAGCGGUUUGUGUCCACCGGAGGAAAGGCCUUGGUUGGCUGAUUCCUUUUCUUCUUUGGAAGUUUGCAUGUUUACCAAUUGCCAUCGCGCGCGCCUCGUGUAGGCUCUAGCCUUCGGACCCUUCCAAACAAGGGUUAGAUUAUUACUAACUCCGUUUUUUUUUCGUUGGACCAAUCCUAAUAGAAAAUUUUAUUUUGAUGUUUCUAGAGGUGUUACGUCAAUAAAACUUCUUCCACUAAUCCAUCAUUUUAAUUUUGAUAUUUCAUAAGCCCAAUACAUAAUUCUACGACUCACAACAAGUUGAAAAUGUGUACAUGUAAUUCAUCUAUCUGGUUCACUCUCUUUCUUAUUUACUUUGCCAAAUCAUCAAAAAAGUCCUAUAUAGCAUCCAAUUAAAGUGGACUUAGGCAUGCGGAGGGGUUACUCUAGAGACAGAUGUGAUUAGUUAUGGCUCUCAUCCCCUCAAUACGAGUAAUUCUACAUGCAGCCAAGCAGCCCUACGAAGAAAUAAUUUGAGUAAAUUACGCUCACCAUAGAAUAACUUAUCAGGCAGGUACAGAUUGAUCCAACAACUUGUAAAAUGCUCAAUUUAGUACAAUAACUUAACAUGUGGGUGCUGAUCCAACAACUUGUAAAAUGCUCAAUUUAGUACAAUAACUUGACAGGACUUAUAAAAUGCUUAAUUUAGCGCAAUAACUUAGCAAAUUAGUGCACUUACAAUCCAAACGUUAUAACAACAACAUAUUAAGCAUAAUAGAUGGACAUGUGAAUUUUCUUCCCAUCAAUAAUUCUUGACUUCUGUCGAUAAAAAUUAUUGACCGUGACCAGGAUGUUGCAUCUCAACUGUGUACAUAACUUUUUUAUUAUUAUUUAAAAUUGAAUGAUAUUUUAGAAUUACGCCAUUGGUAUUGCCAAAAGACUAAAGUCCAAAAUAAGGAUCUUGGGACUUAGGUUCUAUACAAGCAUGUUUGUCUCUAUUCUAUUAGCUCAUUUUCCCUUUCUAAACAAGUACAUGAGCUUUAAAAAUAUUUAUACCAAAAUCCUAAAAGAUAUUAUUAGUAUGUAUUAAAUAUAUUAGUUUUUUGCGCAACCGAACAAUGCAUACAAUCAAACAUUUAAAAAACUGUGAGGUGAACUUAUAAAUAUUGCAUAAAGAAAUUAAAUAUUCUUAAUUUAAAUUAAAUUGCUGUAUAAAAUAAUUAAUAUGUAGACAUAGCAUUAAUUGCCCGAAAUAAUGAAAGUUCUAAUUUGGCCAAAUACAAUGCCUUUGCGACGUGAAUAUCUAUGGUCAAAUAAUGCUCAAUAAUUUAUUCUGAUGUGAAUAUAUUCCUAACCCAGCAUUAGUAAAUAUGUUGCUCGUUAUAACAUUUGGACCCACUUGCAUCAACUUAUAUAAAAUUAUAUUGCACUAAAUUGAAUAUAUAAUUUGUUCCGACGUGAAUAUAUACCUAACCCAGCAUUAGCAAAUAAUUUUGCAUGCAUCUAUGCAGCGCGUCAGCUCCAUCAACAACUCUCCCAACCGUACAACUAACCAACACAUGCAAAUCUCACGAGAAAAAUCAACUGACGCAUGUAAGUCUUGGGCGCGCAUAUUUUUCCAACGCAUGCAUGCACCUAAUUUACAGGCAAAACCAGAAAAGUGGUGUACGCCCAGUGGUGGACCUAGCCAGUGAACAGAGCCCGGGCGAAGACCAUGGCAGCUCUCUCUUCCCUCUUCGGUAGAACAUGCUACAACCACAUGCGAUUGAUUUUAAUGGGCACAAGAACAGGAGCUCUUUUGUGCCAUUGCGGGGGAGCCUGGGCGGAUGCCCGGGCUCGCCGGGCCUUUGGGUCUGCCCCUGUGUAAGCCUAAGAUACAGAAACGGAGGGUGUAUAGAGUUUUAUUUACAACACCAAUUCAAAUACCUCUACAUUUAGGCCUUGUUUAGUUGCCAAAGUUUGGAGGUGCCAAAUUACUGUUACAGCACUGUAGCACACUGUAGCGUUUCGUUUGUAUUUGUGAAUUAUUGUCCAAACAUUGACUAAUUAGGCUCAAAAGAUUCAUCUCGCAAAGUACAACAAAACUGUGCAAUUAGUUUUUAAUUUCAUCUACAUUUAGUACUCCAUGCAUGUACCGCAAGUUUGAUGUGA